AUUGAACGCUGGCGGCAGGCUUAACACAUGCAAGUCGAGCGAGCGGCGGACGGGUGAGUAAUGUCUGGGAAACUGCCUGCUGGAGGGGUAUAACUACUGGAAACGGUAGCUAAUACCGCAUACCAUCAGAUGUGCCCAGAUGGGAUUAGCUAGUAGGUGGGGUAAUGGCUCACCUAGGCGACGAUCCCUAGCUGGUCUGAGAGGAUGACCGGCCAAGCUGGAACGGGGACACGGUCCAGACCCCUACGGGAGGAAGCAGUGGGGAAUAUUGCACAAGGGGCGCAGGCCUAAUGCAGCCAUGCCGGGUGUGUGAAGAAGGCCUUCGGGUUGUAAAGCACUUUCAGCGAGGAGGCGUUACUCGCAGAAGAAGCACCGGCGAACUCCGUGCCAGCAGCCGCGGUAAUC
rnacentral:rRNA from 1 species